UGAAAAUAUUUAGAAACCAUCUUUUUGGUCCAGCCUGACUCUCUGUCUCCUGCUGUGGAAUGGGGUGGAAUUCCAAUACUGUUAGAACUGGUGGAAAGCGGGGCUUGGGAAUCACACACCCAAGCUUCACCCUUCCUCAUUGCAGGGGUGUGGAAGGAAGUUCAGAUGCUACAGGAUUUCCAGCAGUUUUUCUCCUCUCUCUGUGUUGAACGUCCCUCAGUGUCAGAGAGUUCUUCCUUGUGUCUUACCAGACUCUCUCUUGCUGCUGGACCAGCCUGGAUGCUCCUCCUAGUGGCCAGUCUCCAGAGCACGUGGGAGACCCCAGCUUGUGUAGCCCCUGCCUUCUUCCGCCAGCUGCGAUGACCCGCGUGAGGAGGAUGCUUUCCCAAGGGCCUGCCCCACCCCCCUGGAGCUCUGGGACUUCCUGUUCUCUCUCUACCUUCACAUCCUGAGCUCAGCUCUGAUUCCGGCAACAGACUGGACUCCAGAAGGGACCUUAAAAAUCCUCUCUCUCACACUUUCACCACAGAUGGGGAGGCCGCAAAAAUGGGGAGAGCCUUGUCCAAGGUCCAUAUCAGAGCAGGUAGAGUGCAAAUAACACUGGGCUGCAGUCAGGAGACCUCAACCCUGGUUCUAGCCUUGGUUGGGUCCAGACCCUGGUCAUACACAAAAGCCCUGAGCCCAGCUUUAGACUGUAGCCUUCAUUACUGUAGCCUUUCUAAUCCCAGGUCAGUGUCAAGGUAGGCACAGUAUCACAGCUUCCAAUGGCCCAUCUUACUACAGAACCACUCACUGCUGUUGGCAUCCAGGACACCAUUUUUACUGAUAAAGGAUGCUAUGCCCUUACCAGUUUGGAAGUUUGACAUAAUGGCCCAUCAGAACACUUUAGCAAAGAUGUGACUGUCAGAAAAAUCACUUUACCUCUCUGGAUUCAAGUUUUCUUAUCUGCAAAAUGGGCUUGUCAUGCACCCUGCCCCAAGCCUAAUCCUUUGGCUUCUUGAGGGCCAAUUGAGAUUAUGAAGAUGCUUUGCUAGCUAGAUGUGCCUUAGUAUUGAUGAAUGAGUGUUGAAGUUGUACCUAUUGUUUAUGUUGUUAUUUGCUAACCAAACUUGCUUCUGGCUAACCAGAAAGAUCUGGUGUCCUCUGGCAACUUAGGACCUUAGAGCAAAUUUUAUAGGUUAAAAAUGGACAAGAGGAGGCCCAAGAGCUUGGCCAGGGUCCCCAGACCCCAUAAGACUUGGGGAGCUGCUGGGUUAGAUAAUGAGACCUCAUUAGCCUUAUAUAGGUCUGAGUCUAUUGGACAGACUGUGGCACUGGGAUUUAACCAGUUCCAGUGUGUCACAGGUGAGCCCAGGCAGACACUUGAGUGCCCAGGCUUGGGCUCUGGUCAUUGUGGUCCUCCAGAAAUUCCCAAACUCUGCUUGAGAGGAACAAAGAGGCUCAGGUGGGUGCCUACAUACCCAGGCCCCUACCUCUAAACUAGCUUCCUUUCAAUUUCCACCAGCUCUUGCAUUUUGGGGAGGAAAAUUCAAUCCAUAUACUUUUGUUUUAUUUGCAUGAAAACUGUCACAAAACCUUGUCAGAGACAUUUCUGUUGUAGAACCUUACAGGGUCUCUUUAUCACUCUUUGAAGAUCUUUUCCUUCUCCCAGGGUAAACAGGAGUUCAUACUGUGCCAGGUCUGCACCGCCAGCCUCCUGGCAAUUGGAAAUGAGAAGCCCCUCAAGUCUCCCUUGGAGCAAUGCUUGGCCAUUGCUUCCCUUUUUGAUUCACCCCAAGUCCUUCUGGUAGCAUCCCCCUGCCCAACCCACCACUGGGCAGGGAAUUAGUCUGUCUGGCUAUGAAGUAAUGUUUGUGGACACCUCUGUUUAUGCCAUUCUGCUACCUGACUGAAUUUCUUCCUCACCAUUCCUGAAAUCUUCCUUGUUCUUUGAGGCCCAACUCAACACAACCUUCUCCUGAUCAUUCCAGGUAAAGUGAUUGACAGCUCAGGAUUCAGUACUGUGUGACAUCAGUGAAGGUUUACUACAGAAUGAAUGAAUGGAGCUGGGCACAGUGGGGCACACCUGUAAUCCCAGCUACUCAGGAGGCUGAGGAGGAAAGUUCGAGGCCAAUCUGGGCAACUUACUGAGACACUGCCUUGAAGUAAAAAAAAAUAAAAAUAAAAAAUAAAAAGAGCUGGGAAUAUAGGUCAGUGGUAGAGCACCCCUGGGUUCUAUCCCCAGUACUGGGGGGGAAAAAGAUAAAAGGAUGGGUGAAAUGAUGGAUAACAGGCUGGCACAAGUUACCCUACGCAAUUCUUUUUUCCUAAAAUGUGUCAGGUGGGGUUUUGGCAUAUGCAGAAGUUUGAUGAAUGCCUGAAGACUGGCUGUAGGAAUCCAUUUAUAGAGCAGGGUCUAGGGGGCAGGCAUAGUGCAGAGGCUGACAUGGCAGCUGAGAAUCACACGUGCUUCCUGCCCUGCUGCCCUCACCGUUCAGCUGAGUGAGGUUUGCACAGAAAGCCACAUUACCCACUUGGUGACUUUUGGGAUAAAUGUCACGGGGAGGGAAUAUGAAUAAGUCAGUAAGUGAAUGAGGAAUGUGCAAAGAAGAGAAUGAGCAAACAGAGGGAGAGAAGGCAUAUGUGAAUGAGUAAGUGGAUAGUGGGGACAAUAAAGGAGGGGAUGGAUGAAGACUCAUUAUGAAGGGAAAAAAUUCAUGCCUCAAUGUUUGUGGACACAAGGACUAGAGGCCAGCGUUGCCCGAAGUCAGCCCCUCUUGGGAGGGAGGUGGGCAGGCUGGGCAGGGGGAGGCUCCCAGGGCACAUGAGGGGCUCUCUGCAUCCUCAGGUAGGCACCUCUGCCACUGCCUUAGCAUCUCUGGGCCAGAAAGAGUGGCCAUUUGGAAUGAAGAAUUGAAUGCACAGACUCCUGAGCUACUGGGGGCUGAAUUUUGCUCCUUGCAGGGGAGGAACUGCAAGCUUUCACCACCCUAUCCAGCAGCAAGGGACCCUCUAUAUCAAGCCAGCAGUCUUGGGAAGGGGAAGCGCACCACCACCUGACCUCAGGGGGCGCUAAGAGGACUCUGCUGGAACUAACCGCGCGCUUUGUGGACCAGCCCUCUGCCUCUGAGCUCCUUUUCUGAUCACCUCCCUGCAGCUUCCUCCCUUGUCCCCUCUGGCUUCCUCCCUCCCCUGGCACAUGCCAGGCCUGCUCCUGUCUUAGAGCCUUUGUGCCCCUGGUUCUCAUUCCGGGAUGCUUCCCCAGACCCUGGGGCUCACCUCACUUCCUUCGUUUUUUUUUUCCCCAAAGUUAUCCUAUGAAUGCAGGGCCUUCUGGGGCCACUAUACAUUUAUUUGAUCGUAUAUCCCUUCCUUGUAUUAACCUUUCUUUGGCUUUGAAUUGUUUGCAGAGCAUUUAUCCUUAUCUAAGGUACUGUGCCGUUUUCUUGUUUGAUUUACUAUUUCUCCUAUGAGGAUGCCCACCCAGGAGGGCCGGGAUUUGUGCUGUUUUGUUCACUACUACUGUGUUUUAGCUGCCACACAGUAGGUGCCACUAAUAUGUAUUAAUAUGUAUUAAGUGAACAAAUGAAGCGAAGACUCCAACUCAGCCUCUCCUCCCCACACAAAAGCCACUGUUACCGUCUGUUCUUGUCUGGAUGCUGGAAAAGUCUUCUCCUAGACUCGGCUCCACCCUGACCCAGCCUCCUCCCAGACCCUAAUCUCUUCCCUUAUUCUCAGCCUCCUAUCUUAACCUCCAGCUUCCUCCCAGACCCUCAGCCUUCACCCUGACCUCUAGCCUCCUCCCAGGCCCUCAGCCUCCUCCCUGACCCAGGCAGUGAAUGGGGCCUUCACAUAGCCUUUUCUGGACUUGGGAGUCAAGAAGAGAAGUCAUGGUGCUUUGGAAAACACAUGUUCUUUUAAGGAAGAAUUUUUUGUUUUCAUUUCAAACAGCCCUGGCUGGUGACGAGUGGUGAGGAGAGGUGCCCUGUUUUCCAUCCUGACACCUAUUUCCAGGUGGGGGCAGGGAGGCCUCCAAACCUGAAAUGUUAUUUCAAACCCUUUCCGGAGCCUUUAGGCUCCAUUUCCAGCCCACAUGCCUCAAAGCAAAGCACCAUUUCCCAUUACGUCGUCGUGUUGCCCUUUCUGGUCUGAGCACCUUUCAAAGGGGGGAAGACCCGGGCUGCUUCAACACUCCCUCCUGCCCCCCCGUAAAUAAAGUCUCGGAGCUUAAAUAAACAGCCUUGCUUGGGUACCGAUGGUCACACUCCUGAUAGGCCAGCUCGUCAAGGGCAGCAAACUCAGGCGGUUCCUCCCUGCCCUCCAGAGAGAGAUGAAACUGGUGUUUGGCAAACACUCUGGGCCUGCUUUCUGCCAUCUGAGGCACAUUCCAAAAGGAGCAGGCCAGGCGAAGCCUUGUCAUCUGCCAGGGUGCAGACGGAGAUGGAUGACGCCCUCCCUGCCAGAGAAGGCCACAUUUGAGACACUCCCAGAUAGCCAGCUGCCACUUUAUUAACAGCAAAGAUCCCCAUCUGAAUCAGGCUGGGAAAGAAAAUAUUUAUCCUUGCUUGUCAGAGGACCUUCAUUUUUCUUCAGGGGGAGCCAGCUUUGGUUCAAGUCCAGGGCUCAGGGAGUGUGGCAAGUCUGUGGGGCCACUCCAGGCCUUGCAGCAGCCCCAGGGUGGAUGCCCCUCCAAUGUCCUCAGGGCAACUCUGGAUGGGAACAGGGAUGGUGGCCUCAGGAGAGCUGUGCAUGGGGAGUGCAGGGGAGUCAGGAUACCAGAAACCAGAACAUGCCCUGGCACCUAUUAGACAGUAAAUGACGGACCUACGUGUAGGAGUGGGGCUGCCCUCAGAGUCAGGUGGACAGAAAGCAUGGGUUAGUUAGAGAAGCAACUUUGUGCUGAGUUAGAAGAAAAUAAACUUUGCACUGUCAGAAAUGUCAGCACUGGAGCUGAGUCUGUCAUCUUAACUAGGCAUAUAUUAAAAUCAGUUUAUGUCAUUACUUUGUGGGUGGUUAUUAUUUUGAUUAAAACUCAAAAGUCAAUUCUUUUAGCAGUUUCAGGGAUGCCUGUGAAUCUGCAUCUUGAGAGACAGCUGUAUCUCAAGACACUGAGUUAUAAGGUGUGUGAGGCUGAACAAGCCAAGUGAGCCCAGGGAAGGGAGGGUUUGUCCUCAGAGGGGCAGGAUGGUUCUCCUUGGACCCCAGUAAGGUUUCCACCCCCAACUCCAAAUGAAGAUCGCCUAUCCGAUCCGAUGGUUGUGCACAUCCGAGUCAGAAGGCCUGGGUUCAAAUCUCGGUUUAGCACAGUUGCUUAGCAGUGGUGGGACCUAGUCAAGUUUUGGUCUCUCCUUCCAUGAGAUGGAGCUGCUAAAUGUCUCCCUCUUGGGGCUGCCUGGAGGAAAGUGAAGUAAGUAUGUGAAACACGCAGCCCAGGGAGAGCUGGGGAAGUGACUACCGGCAAUAAAGGAGGAGUCUGGGGGGGGGGGUUGCAGCCUCUCUCUAGGAGAGCCUUGGUCCUUUUUAUUUAUAUGUGAAUGAACAGGUACAAAUGCAUGUUAGUAUGAUUGCUAGUUCAUAUCUGACAGUGGACCCAGGCUGCUAUAACAAAAAUACUAAGGACACAGUGGCUUGAUUAAACAGCGGUUUAUUUCUUGCUGCUCCGGAGACUGGGAUGUCCAAGGUUGGGUGCCUGGUGAGGGCCCUCCUCCUGGCUUUCUGGGCCUGAACUCUGGUCUCUUAUAUAAACUCCUCUUCUUAUAUGAACACUAAUCCCAUCAUCAGGGACCCACCUUCAAGACCCUGUCUAAACCUAAUCACUUUCCAAAGGCCUCCCCUACAAAUACCAUCACCUUGGGCAUGGGGACUUUGACAUGAAUUUUAGGGGCACACAUUUGGUCCCUAACAACAUAUGGAUAUGAGAUCUGUUUCGUUCCUACCUGCAACUGCUUUUGAACCUGUGUGCUGUGUAGGCAUUCAUGUCUAGUUACAUAUUGCAAGUUAAAAAGAAGAACAGUGAGGGCCUGGGGCUUAUAGCCAUGUGUGUAACCUGUGUUCAGGCUUCUGCAUCCAUGAGAGUGUAACAAAGGUUAAGUCACAGGCUCAGACUACAGGCAUGAGUCAGUGCGUCACCUGUGUACCCCCGUGUGUAUUUAUAAGCCCCAUAUGGCAAGACUCCUGCUCCCACCAGUCUAGGGCAGUUACUGAGGGGACCCAGAAGAGGGACUCAGAGGGACUGGGGACCUGUCGAGUCUGAAAUCUGGCUGCAGAUGCCCAAUGAUUUGUUUUAUGCUGUGUAAGAACCCCUGGCCCUGAGAGCACAGUUUGCCUGGAGGAAGGACAUGGAGUCUGUCCUUGAUGUUGUGGGGACUUUAUUAGCUCAUCUCCAUCCAGCGUGGGACCCAUUUUCAUCUAUCCAGAUGGAUCAUUUGUCUCACAGAUCGCCUUCAGAGCUCCAGCUCAAGUGACAUUUGCUUAGCAAUUGGCCUGUUUGAAAAGCUGAUGUGCUAGAGCCCAGGCAUGCAAACG